rnacentral:lncRNA from 10 species
CUCGCUCUGUCACCCAGGCUGGAGUGCAGUAGUGUGAUCUCAGCUCACUGCAGCCUCCAUCUCCUGGGUUCAAGCAAUUCUCCUGUCUCAGCCUCCAGCAUAGCCGGGACUAUAGGCAUGCACCACCGUGACCGGCUAACUUUUAUAUUUUUAGUAGAGAGGGGGUUUCGCCAUGUUGGCCAGGCUGGUCUGGAACUCCUGACCUCAAGUGAUCUGCCCGCCUUGACCUCCCAGAGUGCUGGGAUUACAGGUGUGAGCCACCGCGCCCAGCCUCCCUUCAUCUUUACUACCAGGCACUUUUCUAAGUGCCUUCACUUUCACAACUGCCCUAUGGAGCAGGUAAAUUAUCCACAUUUUACAAAUGAAGAAACUAAGGCAUAGAGAGAGGGUAAGUAACUUAAGGUUACAGAGCUGGUAAGUGGUAGAGCUGAGGCUCAGCCCUUGGCAGUCUGACUCCAGAGUCUGUGCCCCCUUUCUUUUUCUUUUAUUUUGAGAGAUGGUGUCUCACUCUGUUGCCCAGGUUGGAGUGCAGUGGUGCCCUGAGAGCUCACGGCAGCCUUGUCCUCUCAGGCUCAAGCAAUCCUGUUGCCUCGGCCUCCUGAGUAGCUGGGACUAUAGGUGUGCACCACUGCACCCAGCUAAACUAAAAAAAAAUUUUUUGUGGAGGUGGGGGUUUUGCAAUGUUGCUGAGGUAGGAGGAUCGCUUGAGCCCAGGAGUUCAAGGCUGCGUAAGCUGUGAUUGCACCACUGCACUCCAGCCUGGGCAACAGAGUGAGACCCCCAUCUC